rnacentral:rRNA from 1 species
CCUACGGGUGGCUGCAGUGGGGAAUAUUGGACAAUGGGGGGAACCCUGAUCCAGCCAUGCCGCGUGUGUGAAUAAGGCCCUCGGGUUGUAAAGCACUUUCAGUGAGGAAGAACGCCUGGUGGUUAAUACCCAUCAGGAAAGACAUCACUCACAGAAGAAGCACCGGCUAACUCCGUGCCAGCAGCCGCGGUAAUACGGAGGGUGCGAGCGUUAAUCGGAAUUACUGGGCGUAAAGCGCGCGUAGGUGGCUUGAUAAGCCGGUUGUGAAAGCCCCGGGCUCAACCUGGGAACGGCAUCCGGAACUGUCAAGCUAGAGUGCCGGCGAGGAAGGUAGAAUUCCCGGUGUAGCGGUGAAAUGCGUAGAGAUCGGGCGGGAUACCCGUGGCGACGGCGGCCUUCUGGACUGACACUGACCCUGAGGUGCGAAAGCGUGGGUAGCAAACAGGAUUAGCUACCCUAGUAGUC